rnacentral:rRNA from 1 species
AGGCUUAACACAUGCAAGUCGAGCGCCCCGCAAGGGGAGCGGCAGACGGGUGAGUAACGCGUGGGAACGUACCCUUUACUACGGAAUAACGCAGGGAAACUUGUGCUAAUACCGUAUGUGCCCUUCGGGGGAAAGAUUUAUCGGUAAAGGAUCGGCCCGCGUUGGAUUAGCUAGUUGGUGGGGUAAAGGCCUACCAAGGCGACGAUCCAUAGCUGGUCUGAGAGGAUGAUCAGCCACAUUGGGACUGAGACACGGCCCAA